UUGCUCCUCUGACGUUAGCGGCGGACGGGUGAGUAACACGUGGAUAACCUACCUAUAAGACUGGGAUAACUUCGGGAAACCGGAGCUAAUACCGGAUAAUAUGUUGAAUCGCAUGGUUCAACAGUGAAAGACGGUCUUGCUGUCACUUAUAGAUGGAUCCGCGCCGCAUUAGCUAGUUGGUAAGGUAACGGCUUACCAAGGCAACGAUGCGUAGCCGACCUGAGAGGGUGAUCGGCCACACUGGAACUGAGACACGGUCCAGACUCCUACGGGAGGCAGCAGUAGGGAAUCUUCCGCAAUGGGCGAAAGCCUGACGGAGCAACGCCGCGUGAGUGAAGAAGGUCUUCGGAUCGUAAAACUCUGUUAUUAGGGAAGAACAAAUGUGUAAGUAACUAUGCACGUCUUGACGGUACCUAAUCAGAAAGCCACGGCUAACUACGUGCCAGCAGCCGCGGUAAUACGUAGGUGGCAAGCGUUAUCCGGAAUUAUUGGGCGUAGAGCGCGCGUAGGCGG
rnacentral:rRNA from 1 species